UGCAAGUCGAACGGCAGCGGGGGCUUCGGCCUGCCGGCGAGUGGCGAACGGGUGAGUAAUGCAUCGGAACGUGCCCAAGUCGUGGGGGAUAACCUCGGGAAACCGGGACUAAUACCGCAUGCGCCCUUCGGGGGAAAGCAGGGGAUCUUCGGACCUUGCGCGAUUGGAUGAGCCCAUGUUCGAUUAGCUAGUUGGCGGGGUAAAGGCCCACCAAGGCGACGAUCGAUAGCUGGUCUGAGAGGAUGAUCAGCCACACUGGGACUGAGACACGGCCCAGACUCCUACGGGAGGCAGCAGUAGGGAAUAUUGGACAAUGGGCGCAAGCCUGAUCCAGCCAUGCCGCGUGAGUGAAGAAGGCCUUCGGGUUGUAAAGCUCUUUUGUCCGGAAAGAAAAGCGCGGGGUUAAUACCCCCGUGUCCUGACGGUACCGGAAGAAUAAGCACCGGCUAACUUCGUGCCAGCAGCCGCGGUAAUACGAAGGGUGCAAGCGUUACUCGGAAUUACUGGGCGUAAAGCGUGCGUAGGUGGUUGUUUAAGUCUGAUGUGAAAGCCCUGGGCUCAACCUGGGAAUGGCAUUGGAUACUGGGCAGCUAGAGUGCGGUAGAGGGUAGUGGAAUUCCCGGUGUAGCAGUGAAAUGCGUAGAGAUCGGGAGGAACAUCUGUGGCGAAGGCGACUGCCUGGACCAGCACUGACACUGAGGCACGAAAGCGUGGGGAGCAAACAGGAUUA
rnacentral:rRNA from 1 species